ACACUGAUGGUGAAGUGGUUAUCAUGCUUGCCUUCCACUUAUGUGUCAAGCAAGCGGCAGGGGUUCGAUUCCCCUUCAGUGUA